GUCUACGGCCAUGCCACCCUGAACAAGCCCGGUGUCUGAUCUCAGAAGCUAAGCAGGGUCGGGCCUGGUUAGUACUUGGAUGGUAGACCACCUAGGAAGACCAGGUGCUGUAGGCA
rfam:Pteropus alecto contig106742, whole genome shotgun sequence.